GAACCACUACUGGUGUCCAUCUGCACACCGGAUUUAAAAUGUGGCUUCGCUGUGACCCGUCUGUUGUCCGAGGCCUCUAGAGACGGGGGAAGGAGAGAGCGCCGUGCCAGGAAACACUCACUCACUCGGACAGCCUCCGUCCUCCACAAACAUGUGCAGUGUUCCACCAGAUUGAACCUGGCUGGAUUUGCUCCCAUUCAGCCACAAGAGCAUUAAUGAAAUGGAAAAGGGGACGCAGAGGCCUCAGCAGUGAUGUUGAGUUGUUUACAGUGACUGCAUCAUCCAUCAGGCAACAGGUCUCGGCUUGGCUUGAGUUCCCAGAGUGCACAGAUGCUUAAUGGCAUGACAGGUUGUGUCCAGGCUCUCAGACUACAUCCAAAACACCGCUAGCUGCUAGACGGAAACACCACACAGCCUCAGGACACCCGGCGGACUCAGCAUUCAGAGCAGCUCAUCACGCCAGCUGAGGCUGCAGCUUCAGGCUCUGCUUGCUGGUAAAAAAAGUGGUUUGAAGAGCUGAAUUACACCACAGUGCGCAGCCUCGAAAUGACUACAAAAUCUGGAAACAGGAUGAUUCAUAGAUGAGGGGAAUCCAACAUUUGAUUGUGAAGGAUGGCAGAAGUAUGAUUGUUUUAGAUGAUGAUGAUGAUGAUGAUGUCCACUGGGGUUUUAUGUUAUGCUGUGCCAUAUUAUGUGAGCUCAUCUAGUUUUAGUUUAGAAGUUCACUAAUGAGUGUGCACAUGUAUGUCUACAUGUUUUGUUUCAUGUUUUAUGUUUAAGUCUGUGUUCGGUGUUUUACCUGCCUGUGAGACAAUUUUCCCUUUGAUGACGAUAAAGUUAAAGAAGAAAAUUGCUGCACUUUGUGUUUUAGGCAAAAAAAAAGAAAACUGUUGAUUUGCAUUCAGUAAAGAUUGUGGUCAUGGUCAAAAGAAACAAAUGCAUUUUGAGAUUAUCAGCAUGCAAACAUCAUUUCAUUAAUUGACAAAAAAUCCAUCUAAAACAACAAAUUAUUG